AUACGUAGGUGACAAGCGUUAUCCGGAUUUACUGGGCGUAAAGGGCGUGUAGGCGGUCUUGCAAGUCAGAAGUGAAAUUCCUGAGCUCAACUCGGGCGCUGCUUCUGAAACUGCAGGACUUGAGUGCUGGAGGGGAUAGCGGAAUUCCCAGUGGAGCGGUAAAAUGCGCAGAUAUUAGGAAGAACACCGGUGGCGAAGGCGGCUAGCUGGGCAGCAACUGACGCUGGGGGGCGAAAGCGUGGGGAGCAAAAAGGAUGAGAUAUCCUGGUAGUCCACGCCGUAAACGAUGAAUACUAGGUGUAGGUGGUAUCGACUCCCUCUGUGCCGCAGAUAACACAAUAAGAAUUCCGCCCGGGGAGAAUAGCCGCGAGGGUGAAACUCACAUAAAUUGUGACGG
rnacentral:rRNA from 1 species